rnacentral:lncRNA from 1 species
CGCGCACUAGAGGGAGCGCUCCUGUAGGGGUGGACUGGAGGGACGGCGCGCUAGUGGGCGCUCACCAGCGGGAACGCAAGGGAGGGCACGCGACUGGUGGGAACGCACCUGCGGGAGCGCGCAUUAGAAGGAGCGCACCGGGCGAACCGGAAGGGGAGCGCGGCAGCGGGCGUUCGCAAGGGACGCCGGGAGUCUCUGUGUCUAGCGGCGCCGGACAGGGAAACUUCCUUAGCUUUGCAAUUGCCCAAGGUAAUAAUCUUCAGUAGUCAAGAUGUCUUCAGCACCGGAUCCUCCAACAGUUAAAAAAGAACCAUCAAAAGAGAGAAACUUUGAAAACCCAGGCCUCCGAGGGACGCACCCAACAACCUUGUUUCGAGCUGUGAAUCCUGAGCUCUUCAUUAAACCUAACAAACCUGUGAUGGCUUUUGGAUUGGUAGCCCUUUCACUCUGUGUGGCUUACAUUGGUUAUCUGCAUGCAACGCAAGAGAACAAAAAGGACCUCUAUGAAGCCAUUGACAGUGAAGGGCAUCGGUACAUGAGGAGAAAAACA